UUAGUGUUGAGUUAACGCAUUAAGCACUACCGCGUUGGGGAGUAUCGGCCUCAAGGCUGAAACUCAAAGGAAUUGCCGGGGGCCCGCACAAGACGGUGGAGCAUGUGGUUUUAUUCGAAGCACGCGAAGACCUUACCAGGUCUCGACAUCCUCUGAAAACCCUAGAUAUAGGGCUUCUCCUUCGGGAGCAGAGUGACAGGUGGUGCAUGGUUGUCGUCAGCUCGUGUCGUGAGAUGUUGGGUUAAGUCCCGCAACGCAGCGCAACCCUUGAUCUUAGUUGCCAUCAUUAAGUUGGGCACUCUAAGGUGACUGCCGGUGACAAACCGGAGGAAGGUGGGGAUGACGUCAAAUCAUCAUGCCCCUUAUGACCUGGGCUACACACGUGCUACAAUGGACGGUACAAAGAGCUGCAAGACCGCGAGGUGGAGCUAAUCUCAUAAAACCGUUCUCAGUUCGGAUUGUAGGCUGCAACUCGCCUACAUGAAGCUGGAAU
rnacentral:rRNA from 1 species